rnacentral:tRNA from 1 species
GCCUUCUUGGCUCAGUUGGCAGAGCGUCUGCCUAGUAGGUUAACUUGAAAGCAGAAGGUCGGCGGUUCGAUUCCGCCAGAAGGCA